rnacentral:rRNA from 1 species
AUUGAACGCUGGCGGCAGGCCUAACACAUGCAAGUCGAGCGAGCGGCGGACGGGUGUGUAAUGUAUGGGGACUGCCCGAUAGAGGGGGAUAACAACUGGAAACGGUAUCUAAUACCGCAUACUAUCGGAUAACCCAUAUGGGAUUAGAUAGUAGGUGAGGUAAUGGCUCACCUAGGCGACGAUCCCUAGCUGGUCUGAGAGGAUGAUCAGCCACACUGGGACUGAGACACGGCCCAGACUCCUACGGAGGCAGCAGUGGGGAAUAUUGCACAAUGGGCGCAAGCCUGAUGCAGCCAUGCCGCGUGUAUGAAGAAGGCCUUAGGGUUGUAAAGUACUUUCAGUGGGGAGGCGUUACCGACAGAAGAAGCACCGGCUAACUCCGUGCCAGCAGCCGCGGUAAUUC